UCAACUUAAUCAAAGUCGAAAGGAAAUUAGGGCUUUUAUGUCCCGUUUUUGUCUGAUCGUUCAAAUGGAAGGAAGAUGAACACGAAGGAACGACAUAGACACGAACAACGACGGCGGCAAGAGGGAGCACGAAGGCUCGCAGGCGGGUACGAGAUCUGAGGGUCGUGGAUCGAUCGUAGGCGGAAGGAGCGUCUCCGGGGGUUGUCGAGGCCGAAGAAACGAAGAGAAGAAGCAGCGAAGCUUCCCUCUUCUCGUCCGGCUGCAAGGUGCGAAGUUCCGGCGUCGCAAGAAGCAGUAGCAUCGAAGACGAGACAUUCGGAGGUCUGUGGUCGAUGGGAACAGGAGAGAAGGAAAGCGAGGGAAAAGAGGUAUCCGGUCUUUCGCUGGUCGCGAAGGGGAAACCAAGGCAGAACCGAAAGGAAGUCUUCGAUGGGGCAAGGAAAAGGUAGAAGGAGGAGGGAGAGGCUUUUACAGUCGUUGAUCAAGGGAGCACCAUUUGUGCUCUAGCUGUUGAGGAAAGAAGAAAGAUAAAGAAGAAGGUGGAGUUUUCUUUGCUUGUACUGAAUAAGGAGGGAAGAAGAACCGAAAUCAGGUGGAUCUUUGGGUUCGAUUCAUUUGACAGGGAAAGAAAAGGAAGAGUGCCAAAGAGCUGAAGAAGAUGAUGAAUUCAGGAGUGGUUGUGGGUUUUGAUGUUUCGUUUGAAUGUUUCAAUUAAGCAACGAAACACAGUUUCCUUUGUGUGUGAUUUAAUAUUUAUUUUGUGUGUCAUUUAGUAUAAGUUGAAAGUUAGAAGCAACACGAGAAUUUAUUCUAUUAUGAUGUGCAAGCAAUCAAAGAUUUUGGACAUUUUCUCAUCAUAGUUCAUGUACUUUGAGUUCAUGAUAGCAAGUUAUGUAUGUGUACUUUGGGUUAAUUUUGUAUGCAUUGUAUAAGUUAAUAAGUAUGUAUUUUGCAUAUGUAUUAAUGUAUGGAUAUAUUAGAGUA